rnacentral:rRNA from 1 species
CCUACGGGAGGCAGCAGUGGGGAAUAUUGCACAAUGGGGGAAACCCUGAUGCAGCGACGCCGCGUGAGUGAAGAAGUAUUUCGGUACGUAAAGCUCUAUCAGCAGGGAAGAAAAUGACGGUACCUGACUAAGAAGCCCCGGCUAACUACGUGCCAGCAGCCGCGGUAAUACGUAGGGGGCAAGCGUUAUCCGGAUUUACUGGGUGUAAAGGGAGCGUAGACGGCAGCGCAAGUCUGGAGUGAAAUCCCAUGGCUUAACCAUGGAACUGCUUUGGAAACUGUGCAGCUAGAGUGCAGGAGAGGUAAGCGGAAUUCCUAGUGUAGCGGUGAAAUGCGUAGAUAUUAGGAGGAACACCAGUGGCGAAGGCGGCUUACUGGACUGUAACUGACGUUGAGGCUCGAAGGCGUGGGGAGCAAACAGGAUUAGAUACCCGGGUAGUC